rnacentral:rRNA from 1 species
CUGAACCAGCCAAGUAGCGUGAAGGAUGAAGGGUCCUACGGAUUGUAAACUUCUUUUAUACGGGAAUAAAGUAUCCUACGUGUAGGAUUUUGUAUGUACCGUAUGAAUAAGCAUCGGCUAACUCCGUGCCAGCAGCCGCGGUAAUACGGAGGAUGCGAGCGUUAUCCGGAUUUAUUGGGUUUAAAGGGAGCGCAGACGGGAGAUUAAGUCAGUUGUGAAAGUUUGCGG